rnacentral:lncRNA from 10 species
AGUGUGGGUAGCAUGGACUCUGGAGCCUGAUCUCCUACCCUCAAAUCUCCCUGCUGACACCCAGACCUGUGGUCUAUGGCAAGCGAUGCUCUCAUCCUGUGUUAUGUUAUUCUCAUCUGUAAAAUGAAGAUGAUAACAGAUGAUAACAGUGCUGACCACAUAAAAAUAUGAGGAUUCCAACUGGUCAGUGGCCUGGCGUACAAAAAGAGAAGACCUUGCACUGGAAGCUUCUUUGGAUGGCAGAAAACAAGACAAAGGAAAUCUCCUCUUCGUUCUCCAUUGUGAAGCUUGCAGCAGAUUCUCCAAGGAGACUGGGACCUCAGGGUCUUUUGGAUCCACUGCAAAAUAAGGUGAGAAAACUCAGAUUCAGAAAGAGGAUCUGAUUGCCAUGAGCCUCGGCAAGCCGGCAGCGUUGCUGGAAGCGUCCUGGGUCCAGGGACAAGCGCCUGAAGUUUAAGCCACAAGACACUGCUUCUAGCUUCGGUGCCUUCAGCCAUCAGGAUUAUGGAUUUAGAACAGAAUGGGUUUGGAGAUCUCCUUUGUUCUAUAGCAGCAGUUUCACUGCUUGGGGUCUAGCUUGUUAGUACAAGAGAAGAGGACCCCAUAGCUUCUGUUUGGCAAACCUAGAGACUCAAUGGUGAAAAGCUCCUAGAACCAUUCUCAGAUUUUUCUCCAGAGUGAAACCUAAAUUUCUUAGGCUCAUGUUUCAUUCUUUUUGUUUCCACGAGUGCCUCAACAGCCUGGAUUCUUUCCCAGGAACCAAGUCAUCCGGGCCAGUGAUUCUCUACCCGACGUUGUUAUCCAAGAGUCCUUGGCAGAGAGAGAGAGAGAGAGAAGAGCGCUCCACACCUCAUUAGGCAAUUAUUGAUGGGGAGGGGGAUCUUAUCCAACUAUUCCAGGAGUCAUGGGGUAUUUAUAUUAAGAAAAUAGGAAAGGAAAAGAACCACCAUUCCCAAAUUAAUUUGAUACAAAGUCUCAUUGUUUCCUGCUUCCUCCUUUUCAAAAUGAUUAGUUUAACAUAGAAGCAUAUUGAAUGCUUGAAUAUUAGGAUGAGUAAUUCAUGUCUUAGCAUUUUAGAGUUUUAUGGAAAUCUCUUCUUCUACCACUAAAUACUGAAUGAACUUAUUCAUUAUUCAUAAAAGUUAAAUAUUUCUCUCUCCUCUCCCCUCCCCUUCCUUCCCAUCUUGGCCAAAGUAGACGGGUUGGCAGCAAAAGAGUUCUGGGGAACAUGGCAUGGAUACCAUGCACUGAAUAGCUCUAUCUCAAUCCCUUGCUGCCCAAGAGACCAAGCUGUAAGGUGGAAGGCACUGGAAAAGAGCAGACAUGAAUAGAGGUGACUGAAAAUUACUAGUGAUAAAGUGCCUAAGUCCUUGUAUACCUCUUACGAUAAUGUUAUCAGAAAAGUGCCGGACUACAAGUUAACCUUACUGUUUUAGACCUUUUUGAAUAUUUUCUAGUAAAAAUUAAUUUAGUAGGCAAAGAACUGAGACUUAAAAAAUCAAAGGCUCUCAUCCACUCAUUUUGCAAGUAUGUAAUGGGAUUUUGUUAUGGAUACUUAAUUGACAUGGCAGUAAUGUGAAAUAUGUAUCGCUUUCUCAGCAAGUCAUCUUCACAUCUCCUAGAUGAUAGAAAAUGAAUAGAUCUUAAUAUCUGAAUUCUCUGGGGAUGGGAAGGAGAGCAGAGUCAACAGGGAUUUCAAACUUUUAUAACCAAUAGUCUUGUGACUAUGGUAACUUCUGAUGGCACACUCUGAGGAGGAGGAGGAAGGAAAAGAUGGGCAGUAAGGAAGGGACACACAUUUAAUGAUGAACACAAAUGCGGAAGCUUGAGAGGGACAGUGAAGAAAUGGGAAGUUGUAGACAAAAUAGCAAAGUUACCUUCCCAGCAUCCAUCACUGAAAAGCCCUGGAAAUUAAUCUACUGCGUAAUUAUGUCAUUUCAAUGGCCAUUCAUUUUUAUUGUGUGCCAAACUAAUAGUGGAUAGUGGAGAUACAUCAGUAUGAAAACCACACAUAACCACCACCUUUAUAUAGUUUAUAACCUAAUAUUGAUCCAAGUCAACCCCUACUAUUCCUCCAAAUCAACCCAUACUCAUUGUGCCACUGUUUUGCAUAAAAUGAGACAGAUACAGAACUCACCAUCAAGCAGUUUAUAGUAUGUCAGUAGAAAACAUAAAUAUUAAACUCAAUUCUUAAAUUUAUGCACUAGCUUCAAUUAUGGUAUCUCAAAAACUUCUUGUAAAAAUCUUGUGAACAAUUUAAAGAUUACUAUUUUUUUCAUUAUUUUUAAUUUAAAAAAAUAAUUUAGGAAUAAAAUGGAGGCUCAGUGGACUCAAGUGAUUUGCUCAAUUAUACAACUAAGGAAUGAAAGGGUGGCUGGGCUUUGGCUUCGAUUCUUUUUUGUCCUUAAAUGAUGCCAGCUCCCUGCAGCAAGAGUUUUAUUUUUAAAAUAAAUAAAGAAAUUAAAAUAAAAAUCUAUCACUAC